rnacentral:rRNA from 1 species
GACGAACGCUGGCGGCGUGCUUAACACAUGCAAGUCGAACGGAAAGGCCCUGCUUUUGUGGGGUGCUCGAGUGGCGAACGGGUGAGUAACACGUGAGUAACCUGCCCUUGACUUUGGGAUAACUUCAGGAAACUGGGGCUAAUACCGGCUAGGAGCUCCUGCUGCAUGGUGGGGGUUGGAAAGUUUCGGCGGUUGGGGAUGGACUCGCGGCUUAUCAGCUUGUUGGUGGGGUAGUGGCUUACCAAGGCUUUAACGGGUAGCCGGCCUGAGAGGGUGACCGGCCACAUUGGGACUGAGAUACGGCCCAGACUCCUACGGGAGGCAGCAGUGGGGAAUAUUGCACAAUGGGCGGAAGCCUGAUGCAGCAACGCCGCGUGCGGGAUGACGGCCUUCGGGUUGUAAACCGCUUUCGCCUGUGACGAAGCGUGAGUGACGGUAAUGGGUAAAGAAGCACCGGCUAACUACGUG